rnacentral:lncRNA from 1 species
GAGCAUUACACCGGGAGUAGGCGCUGGACACAGAAGCCCACAGCGUGGGACCCCGUGUCCCCGACCCGCGCGGAGCUUGAAGAUCCGCAGGGACGGAGACUGGAGGCUGCUGGGGCUCCGGAGGGGCAGAGGGGUCAGGAGCGGCUGCGGUGGGUAACAGCUCUCCUUCCAGGCGAUGAAAACGUCCUGGCAAAUGUCUCCCGCGUGGCCGUCACCAGUGGUCAGUGCCUCUGGCUGCGCAGCCACCCCAGGGCCCCUCAAAGAUCUUCCCUACCCUCCUCGCAGGAUCUGCUCCCUGCCGAUGGCCAUGGCGAGGAGCUGGCUGGGGGAAAUGAAUGGGGCCUGAGAAUUACAAGCUCCCAGGAUGGCGUGAGGACCCCGUACGGAGAACUUCUCUUGCGCUCCCGUGAGAUGUGGACGGCAUUAAAGAAGAGUGACCGUCUGGGAAAGCUGCUAUCGCAAGUGAGCUCGCGGUUCUCAGAUGCAGCGUGUGUUUUAGUUUUGCUUUCACCCGCUUCUUCUCUUUGUCCAUGUUUGCUCCGCAGAGCUGGUUUCUCCACACCCAUUCACCCUGCCCUUUUCAAAGAAACUUUUGCUUUGUCUCGUCUAAUUCUUUAUUCAAGGCAAGAAGGACCUGGAAUACUUCUGAUUGUCGCGCCACUUCUAAAGAAACUACCUGAUAAAACACUGGCUCCAACACAGGAAGCAGGGCAGAGGGGCCUGGGCCAGGAAGCAGACAGAGAAGGGAGGACCCGGACAGUGUUUCCAGGCCACACCCCCAGGGUCUGUCUCUUCCGGCCAGGCCCCUCCUCCUAACAUCACAUUUAGCUCCAGGGAUCAGGCACCUAACAAAAGCCCUGCUGCUGAGCUCCUCAGGCUCUUGGGGGACAUCUGGAUGUUAACCAGAACACCUCUUUUCCUAGCCCUCACCUUUGCCAGAAGCCCAAGUCAUGCUGGGCAGCAUCAGUCCCUGGACCUGCCCUGCUGCCGGUCCUCUGCAGGGUCUUGGUUCUGAUGCCACAUGCCAGAGACUCCUGUGGCCUCCGUUGGAACCAUGUGGACCACCCGCGUGCGCCUAUAUUUGCUUCUGGUUUUAUGGAGCGAACAUUUAUGGGUCACCUCAUGCUGGGCCAAGUCCGACUCCACUGCUUUACUCUGUCUGCUUUUCCCACUACGUCCCAACCCCGAAAGAGGCUGGAGCCUGUCUCCUUCUCCUCAACAACUCUGUGACAUUUCACAGUCGAAUAAAGACAGCCAGCCCGUACUCUAUCAAUUUGGAGGGGUCGCGGAGGAAAUGAUUUUUUGUUGUUGUUUUGUGUUUUUUUGAGACAGUGUCUCGCUUCGUAGUUCAGGCUGUCCAUGAACUCACUAUGUAGCCCAGGCUUGGUCUGGAACUCAGGCAGUUGUUAUGGCUUGUGCCUGGAUGUACCCCUGAAGCCUCAUCGGUCAUGGGGGGGUGGGCUUUUUGGAGGUGGCUGAAUCUAGAGUUUGUGAUUGGUUUAUUGUCUAGUGCUGAGGUUGGGAGUGUGUGUGCACUCUUGGAUUAUUCCCUUAACAAGAAUGUAGUGAACUUUUUUUGUGUCUCUUGAUUUGUCUUGGCUUGAAAUCCACUUUGUCUGCAAAAAGAAUAGCCACCCCUGCUUUUUUCUGGGUUCCUGUCCCAUGGAGUAUUGUUUUCCUUCCUUGGACUUUCAGUCUGUGAACUUCUGUUUGUUCUUUAUUUUUGUUUUGUUGUUUUUCUUCUGGUACCAGGAAUCAAACUCACAACCUUGCAUUUGCCAGGCAGGCGCUGAGCUAAAUCCCCAGCCCCUUCUUUUUUAAUUGUGUUUCUUGUAUGCAGCAUAUUGUUGUAUCUUACUUCUUGAUCCAUUUUGCCAGUCUCUUUCUUUUGGUUGGUGAAUUGAGACUAUUAGCAAAAU